rnacentral:rRNA from 1 species
AUUGAACGCUGGCGGCAGGCCUAACACAUGCAAGUCGAACGAGUGGCGGACGGGUGAGUAAUGUCUGGGAAACUGCCGGAUGGAGGGGGAUAACUACUGGAAACGGUAGCUAAUACAGCAUACCAUCGGAUGUGCCCAGAUGGGAUUAGAUAGUAGGUGGUGUAACGUCUCACCUAGGCGACGAUCCCUAGCUGGUAUGAGAGGAUGACCAGCCACACUGGAACUGAGACACGGUCCAGACUCCUACGGUAGGCAGCAGUGGGGAAUAUUGCACAAUGGGCGCAAGCCUGAUGCAGCCAUGCCGCGUGUAUGAAGAAGGCUUUCGGGUUGUAAAGUACUUUCAGCGAGGAGGCGUUACUCGCAGAAGAAGCACCGGCUAACUCCGUGCCAGCAGCCGCGGUAAUAC